rnacentral:lncRNA from 1 species
AACUCAUCGGUGACCUAUCUUUUUUAUUGUUGUUUUCGAAUAAGCUGUACAUAAACUAAAGAAUUAUAAAAUUUUAGCGAUUUCUGUAAUUUCGUUCUUUUUUUAUUUCGAUAUUACCGCUAUUUCUCCUAUUAGAUUAACAGAAAAAAGGACAUUAACAAAAAUAUAAGUUUCUUUCGAAGGCAGAUUGUUAAGUAAAUGAACGGUGACCCCAUCUUUUUAUUUCAUUUAUCGCAAAAUCCUAUAGUAAAUAAAAAAAAAAUUGAUUUAGACCCGCGAGACCCCUGAAGAUAGUAGAUUAGUAAACAAACAUCAAAAAUAAAACAAAAUAAAGUACUUAACACAUUUAAAACAAUUGUCACAAUUAAAAACUUCUUUUCUAGCGAUGUUUUCGAUAGAAUUCUUUGUAUUGACCUUAUCUUAUCCGUAUCAGUAAGACCUAAUAUCUUAUAUUUCUUGCCGACACAACUUAGACUUUUUUUUCAGAAUACAAAUUUGUUGAAAUAAAUUUAAAAAAAGGUUUUCAACCGAGUUGUAAGGUCAUAUUUCUUUAUAAAUAAUUUGAAUGGACGUUUGCAAUAAAAUAUCGAUGAUUUUUUUUUUGUAAAUCGUGACGUUGUAAGCAAUACCUUCCAGUUCCUGUUUUGAACGUGCACUGUUGGCACAUAAUGCCAAAACAAUACAGUUUCAAUAUUUUUCAUACUCGCAAUGUUUAUUGUACAUACAAAACAGUAAAACGUUAACAAGUCUAAUUGGUUGUUGAAGCGGGUGCAGUGGCAAAUUCCAUUGCACUAUGCUGCUUAUCAUACAUGAAGUCAUC